GACGAGCGGCGGACGGGUGAGUAAUGCUUGGGAAUAUGCCUUAGGGUGGGGGACAACAGAUUGGAAACGACUGCUAAUACCGCAUAACGUCUACGGACCAAAGGGGGCUUCGGCUCUCGCCCUUAGAUUAGCCCAAGUGGGAUUAGCUAGUUGGUGAGGUAAUGGCUCACCAAGGCGACGAUCCCUAGCUGGUUUGAGAGGAUGAUCAGCCACACUGGAACUGAGACACGGUCCAGACUCCUACGGGAGGCAGCAGUGGGGAAUAUUGCACAAUGGGCGCAAGCCUGAUGCANCCAUGCCGCGUGUGUGAAGAAGGCCUUAGGGUUGUAAAGCACUUUCAGUAAGGAGGAAAGGUUAGUAGUUAAUACCUGCUAGCUGUGACGUUACUUACAGAAGAAGCACCGGCUAACUCCGUGCCAGCAGCCGCGGUAAUACGGAGGGUGCGAGCGUUAAUCGGAAUUACUGGGCGUAAAGCGUACGCAGGCGGUUUGUUAAGCGAGAUGUGAAAGCCCCGGGCUCAACCUGGGAACUGCAUUUCGAACUGGCAAACUAGAGUAUGAUAGAGGGUGGUAGAAUUUCAGGUGUAGCGGUGAAAUGCGUAGAGAUCUGAAGGAAUACCGAUGGCGAAGGCAGCCACCUGGGUCAAUACUGACGCUCAUGUACGAAAGCGUGGGGAGCAAACGGGAUUAGAUACCCCGGUAGUCCACGCCGUAAACGAUGUCUACUAGGNAGCUGGGGUCUUCGGACAACUUUUUCCAAAGCUAACGCAU
rnacentral:rRNA from 1 species